rnacentral:rRNA from 1 species
AGUGAACGCUGGCGGUAGGCCUAACACAUGCAAGUCGAACGGCAGCACAGUAAGAGCUUGCUCUUACGGGUGGCGAGUGGCGGACGGGUGAGGCAUACAUCGGAAUCUACUUUUUCGUGGGGGAUAACGUAGGGAAACUUACGCUAAUACCGCAUACGACCUACGGGUGAAAGCAGGGGAUCUUCGGACCUUGCGCGAUUGAAUGAGCCGAUGUCGGAUUAGAUAGUUGGCGGGGUAAAGGCUCACCAAGGCGACGAUCCGUAGCUGGUCUGAGAGGAUGAUCAGCCACACUGGAACUGAGACACGGUCCAGACUCCUACGGGAGGCAGCAGUGGGGAAUAUUGGACAAUGGGCGCAAGCCUGAUCCAGCCAUACCGCGUGGGUGAAGAAGGCCUUCGGGUUGUAAAGCCCUUUUGUUGGGAAAGAACAGCAGCAGGUUAAUACCCCGCUGUUCUGACGGUACCCAAAGAAUAAGCACCGGCUAACUUCGUG